rnacentral:rRNA from 1 species
UACAGAGGGUGCGAGCGUUGUCCGGAAUCACUGGGCGUAAAGGGCGCGUAGGCGGCUUGGUAAGUAGGGGGUGAAAUCUUGCGGCUCAACUGCAAGGCUGCCUCCUAAACUGCCUGGCUGGAGCACGGUAGAGGCAGAUGGAAUUCCCGGUGUAGCGGUGGAAUGCGUAGAGAUCGGAAAGAACACCAACGGCGAAAGCACUCUGCUGGGCCGACACUGACACUGAGAGACGAAAGCUAGGGGAGCGAAUGGG